GAUGAAGAACGUAGCGAAAUGCGAUAAGUAGUGUGAAUUGCAGAAUUCAGUGAAUCAUCGAAUCUUUGAACGCACAUUGCGCCCUUUGGUAUUCCAAAGGGCAUGCCUGUUCGAGCGUCAUUUGUACCCUCAAGCUUUGCUUGGUGUUGGGCGUCUUGUCUCUAGCUUUGCUGGAGACUCGCCUUAAAGUAAUUGGCAGCCGGCCUACUGGUUUCGGAGCGCAGCACAAGUCGCACUCUCUAUCAGCAAAGGUCUAGCAUCCAUUAAGCCUUUUUUUCAACUUUUGACCUCGGAUCAGGUAGGGGUACCCGCUGAACUUAAGCAUAUCAAUAAGCGGAGGA
rnacentral:misc_RNA from 1 species